GACGAACGCUGGCGGCGUGCCUAAUACAUGCAAGUCGAACGAACUCUGGUAUUGAUUGGUGCUUGCAUCAUGAUUUACAUUUGAGUGAGUGGCGAACUGGUGAGUAACACGUGGGAAACCUGCCCAGAAGCGGGGGAUAACACCUGGAAACAGAUGCUAAUACCGCAUAACAACUUGGACCGCAUGGUCCGAGCUUGAAAGAUGGCUUCGGCUAUCACUUUUGGAUGGUCCCGCGGCGUAUUAGCUAGAUGGUGGGGUAACGGCUCACCAUGGCAAUGAUACGUAGCCGACCUGAGAGGGUAAUCGGCCACAUUGGGACUGAGACACGGCCCAAACUCCUACGGGAGGCAGCAGUAGGGAAUCUUCCACAAUGGACGAAAGUCUGAUGGAGCAACGCCGCGUGAGUGAAGAAGGGUUUCGGCUCGUAAAACUCUGUUGUUAAAGAAGAACAUAUCUGAGAGUAACUGUUCAGGUAUUGACGGUAUUUAACCAGAAAGCCACGGCUAACUACGUGCCAGCAGCCGCGGUAAUACGUAGGUGGCAAGCGUUGUCCGGAUUUAUUGGGCGUAAAGCGAGCGCAGGCGGUUUUUUAAGUCUGAUGUGAAAGCCUUCGGCUCAACCGAAGAAGUGCAUCGGAAACUGGGAAACUUGAGUGCAGAAGAGGACAGUGGAACUCCAUGGUGUAGCGGUGAAAUGCGUAGAUGAAGAACACCAGUGGCGAAGGCGGCUGUCUGGUCUGUAACUGACGCUGAGGCUCGAAAGUAUGGGUAGCAAACAGGAUUAGAUACCCUGGUAGUCCAUACCGUAAACGAUGAAUGCUAAGUGUUGGAGGGUUUCCGCCCUUCAGUGCUGCAGCUAACGCAUUAAGCAUUCCGCCUGGGGAGUACGGCCGCAAGGCUGAAACUCAAAGGAAUUGACGGGGGCCCGCACAAGCGGUGGAGCAUGUGGUUUAAUUCGAAGCUACGCGAAGAACCUUACCAGGUCUUGACAUACUAUGCAAAUCUAAGAGAUUAGACGUUCCCUUCGGGGACAUGGAUACAGGUGGUGCAUGGUUGUCGUCAGCUCGUGUCGUGAGAUGUUGGGUUAAGUCCCGCAACGAGCGCAACCCUUAUUAUCAGUUGCCAGCAUUAAGUUGGGCACUCUGGUGAGACUGCCGGUGACAAACCGGAGGAAGGUGGGGAUGACGUCAAAUCAUCAUGCCCCUUAUGACCUGGGCUACACACGUGCUACAAUGGAUGGUACAACGAGUUGCGAACUCGCGAGAGUAAGCUAAUCUCUUAAAGCCAUUCUCAGUUCGGAUUGUAGGCUGCAACUCGCCUACAUGAAGUCGGAAUCGCUAGUAAUCGCGGAUCAGCAUGCCGCGGUGAAUACGUUCCCGGGCCUUGUACACACCGCCCGUCACACCAUGAGAGUUUGUAACACCCAAAGUCGGUGGGGUAACCUUUUAGGAACCAGCCGCCUAAGGUGGGACAGAUGAUUAGGGUG
rnacentral:rRNA from 1 species